AUGGAUCCGGACGAGGGGAUCGAAUUCGAUCUCUCCCCGUUCGCCAUCGUGUACAAGAGCGGCCGCGUCCAACGCUCUGGUCUAACGUCGCGGAAGAGCGCCGGCACCGACGCCACCACCGGCGUCACCUCCAAGGACGUUGUCAUCGACGCCGGCACAGGCCUCGCCGCGCGGCUCUUUCUCCCCACGAGCGUCCCGGAGUCCCAGAAGCUCGCCGUCCUCGUCUACUUCCACGGCGGCGCUUACGUCGCCGAGUCGGCCUUCUCCGCCAGGUACACCAGCUACGUCAACGCCCUUGUCGCCGCCGCCCGCGUCGUGGCCGUGUCGGUGGAGUACCGCCUCGCCCCCGAGCACCCGCUCCCCGCCGCCUACGACGACGCGUGGGCCGCGCUCCGCUGGACAGCGACGAGCUGCGUUUCCGCGGGCCCGGAGACGGAGCCGUGGCUGGCCGACCACGGCGACCUCACGCGCAUCUUCGUCGCCGGCAACAGCAGCGGCGGCAACAUGGCGCACAACGUGGUGAUGAGGGCCGGAAAGGAAGGGCUCCGGGGAGGCGCGCGGAUCGAAGGGAUGCUGCUGCUUCACCCGCUGUUCUUGGGCAAGGCUCCGGUGCCGUCGGAAGGCACGGAGUCCACGGAGACCGCCGAGAGGAACUGGCGGUUCGUCUGCGCGGGCAAGUACGGGCUCGACCACCCGUUCUCCAACCCGCUCGUGAUGCCGCCGGAGAAGUGGUCGGUGCUCGGCUGCCGACGGGCGCUGGUGACGGCGGCCGAGCUGGACCUCGCCAGGGACAGAGCGCGCAUGUACGUCGAGGCGCUCCGGGCCAGCGCAUGGGACGGCGAGGAGGCCGUGCUGUACGAGACGGAGGGCGAGGAGCAUAUGUAUUAUUUCUCGAAAGACGCGAGAUCCAACUCCGUCGUGGCGGAGAAGGCGGCCAAGGAAAUGGCCAUUGUUGUGUCCUUCAUCAAGCUCACCAAUCCAUCGGAUUGUAACAUUAGAUCUACGUUGUGA
rnacentral:rRNA from 1 species